rnacentral:lncRNA from 1 species
AAAAUUUUAAUAUUAUUUCUCCUUAAUACCCCUGUUAAAUACAGUUAUGUCCUACUAUAUAAUUUAUUUUUUUACAUAAACCAAGACCUUCAUGAAAUAUGAGGAUUUAAACAAUCGCUUAAUUCGACCAACUCUGAAUAAAAAUAUGUUAAAUAUGAUUCUUGUAUUGAAUAAACAGUUAAAUACAACUCUUUAUUCUUUCUGGGUUAUUUUUCAUAUAACCAAAGCACCAACAACGAUGAAGAAAGAACUACAAAUGAUUAAAUAGAACUUCUCUAAAAUUCUACUUUGCUUUUGGAUCUGGAUGAGAAAAUAUAUAUUAUUUUGAUGAGGUUCUUGUUGAGUCAUUUGUUCAAACAGCAUAACGCAUUCCCCAGCGGAAACUAGUUCAAGACCAUUACAUGCCAAAAGUGAAAGCUGCUAUUGAGCAGAGGAAAUAGAAUGUUGCUGUUAACUUUGUAAAAAUUCUCAGCAGCUUAAGAGUUUACCAUUUACAAGGACUUUAUAUUUCAUUACUAUUGUAUAUUGUCUGCAAGAUAAGAAUGAAUAAAUGAAUAAUGGUUUUGGUGCUUGAGUGUGAACAAAUACUUUUUAAGUGUUUUCCCCCCCUUAAGAAUUAUAAGUUUUACCCAUUUCUUUUGCCUUGUGUCUUCUUUCACGAAAGUCGUUAAAAAAAAAAAAAGAAGGAAUUUAUUAAAUUCAUCAACAAUAUUCUAAAUUGAUAUGGUAUGUGAUAAAGUUUUUUUUAUGGAUACACGUACAUAUGGUGUGAAUGUGAUAAUCUAUCUCAUCUACGACUUUCUUUCAUUACUUGAAAUAAAAAGCAUUUCUUCAAGUACA